GCAGCCACCUUUUAAAAAGCGUCAAAGCUUAACCUAAUUCCUCUAAAAUACCAUUAACCUUAAUGAACCCCUAAUCUAUAAUGAAUGACCCCAUAUAAAUAUGGAAGACACCAUGCUAGGAUAAGUAACAAGAAUUAAUAAUUCUCCAAAAUGCAAACAUACACCAGCAUGGAUAAACCAUUGGUAAUUACCGAAUCUGAACUUACUGCAACAACACUUACAAGAAAACCAUGCAGUAUUUGCUCGUUAACCUAACACUAGUGCAUUUCAGGAAAGAUUUAAAAAAAGAGAAGGAAUUCGGCAAAUGAAAGCCCCGCCUGUUUACCAAAAACAUCGCCUCUUGAUUUAUGAUAAGAGGUCCAGCCUGCCCAGUGAAUUUUUAACGGCCGCGGUAUCCUAACCGCGCGAAGGUAGCAUAAUCACUUGUUCUUUAAAUGGGGACUCGUAUCAACGGCAUCACGAGGGUUUUACUGUCUCCUCUUUUUGAUCAGUGAAAUUGAUCUUCCCGUGAAGAAGCGGGAAUACUCAUAUAAGACGAGAAGACCCCAUGGAGCUUAAAACCAAAUGGUAACUUAACCACAUAUUUCCUUAUAACUUUAAGCCUAUACUAUGAGGUUUUUGGUUGGGGUGACCGCGGAGUAAAACAUAUCCUCCACGACGGAAAGACUACAAUCUUUAUUUAAGAACCACAGUUCUAAAAAUUAGCAUACUAACGUUUACUGACCCGAUAAUCGAUCAACGGAACAAGUUACCCUGGGGAUAACAGCGCAAUCUACUUCAAGAGCCCAUAUCGACGAGUAGGCUUACGACCUCGAUGUUGGAUCAGGGUAUCCCAGUGGUGCAGCCAUUACUGAAGGUUCGUUUGUUCAACGAUUAAAACCCUACGUGAUCU
rnacentral:rRNA from 1 species